rnacentral:tRNA from 1 species
GGAGGGGUGGCAGAGUGGUUGAAUGCAACAGUCUUGAAAACUGUCGUGCGGGUAACCCCCGCACCGUGGGUUCGAAUCCCACCCCCUCCGCCA